rnacentral:lncRNA from 1 species
GUCAAUUAAGUUCUUCGAAUAGCAAAGAGGAACAGGCCAAGUUUGGCCGAAACCAAGCUGACGAGCAAAAAAUUGGGGAGCAUAAAUUUCUGCCCCCGCUUUGGCAUUGGUCCCAGUUAAGAUAUCAUGAAAAAGCUCCCUCCCGGUUAAAAACUGGAUCCAAAUGAGCAGGGAGGUGCUCGGCUAUCUAUAGUGGAAGGGGGAUGUACAUAGUUCGGAGUCAAAAAAGAAGGAAAAGGAAAAAAGAAAGAGAUUGAAUCCAAAGAAUAAAAGAACGAAAAAAUGUCCCUUCUGGACAUAUUUACAGGAGCUAAGGGCUCAAUGGCUAGCCCAUAGCAGCUGGCAGAAGAACGAGAAAUUGAAGGAGCGCCAAGCGAUGGGAAAUAGGAUCUCAACCACAGUUGA